AACAGGUCUUCCUGUCAGCUGUUUUCUUAUUCUUCUUGCAUCAAACACCCCCCGUUCCUUUUGCAUAAUAUAUCUCACUUUCACAAACUCUUGUACUCCGCAUUUCCCCCUUGAUUUCUUAAUCACCCAGUUUAUUCCCGCGUCUAAUCUCUAAUUCCCUCUAAUACCUGACAUCAUCCUUUGGAUUCUAAACCGUCUCCUCGGCGCGUCUCUCCAUCUGUCGUGUGUGUGUUGCCUCUCGUGAGCGAAUCUUACCAUCAACAUAAACAGGAAACAGCUGAGGCGCCGUCUUCCUGUCAGUUUCUCGGAACACUAGACCAAACCACCAGAAACCCAAAGCCGUGAUGAGCAGGCCGACCGCGUGGCUGCAGGCCCUUUGACAGAGUCCGGAAUGGAUUCCUCUGCUUUGGAAGUGUGAGCCGAUAGAUGACACCGGCAGCUUGCAGAAGGAGGGAUAAAGAUAGACGAGGUGAUGCAGAGGGUCGAGGGACGCAGCGGCCGAGGAAGUGAUAUGGGACGAGUCUGAGGGAAGAAAGAAGACAUAACCUGAGAGGGAGAUAGAGAGGGUGAGUGAUGAGACGGUCUAUUUUAGUGUAAAGCAAGGGGAGAGGGCACGAGGGAGCCGCCGAAGAUCCUGUGAAGAGAUACAACCCAAAUCACACGCUCUUGCUUUACCACUUUCUUUUAGGUGCCGUCGAAAGACAUCUUACCUCCGUAUUCCAGUUGUUCUUUCAUACUGUGUGUGUGUGUGUGUGUGUGUGUGUGUGUGGUGUGUAGCACCAGCGGGGGUUGCCUAUUUGUCAUGACUCUCAUGGUGGCUGUCACCUGUAACCAAAUCAAGAACAAAAUGGCAUCCACGCUACAUACAUCAGUUUGCACUAAACAAAUCCUCCCUUUCCCUCCGCCAGUCCACCCAGCGUAAAUGCCGUGGCUGCCGCCUUUGUCCCUUUUCUCUUCUAUUUCGUCCAUUGUCCCUGCACGGAUGCUGUUAGGAAGGACAUUUGCAGAGAGAGAGAGAGAGAGGAGGUGUGUGAACACUACUAAAGAGGAAACCCCAG
ensembl:lncRNA